GCGAAAUGCGAUACUUGGUGUGAAUUGCAGAAUCCCGUGAACCAUCGAGUCUUUGAACGCAAGUUGCGCCCGAAGCCGUCAGGCUGAGGGCACGUCUGCCUGGGCGUCACGC
rnacentral:rRNA from 1 species